GACGAACGCUGGCGGCGUGCUUAACACAUGCAAGUCGAACGAAGUGGCGAACGGGUGAGUAACGCGUACUCAACCUGCCCUUCAGAGGGGGACAACAGUUGGAAACGACUGCUAAUACCGCAUACUGAAGGCGGGGAUUGCGUCUGAUUAGCUAGUUGAAGGGGUAACGGCCCACAAAGGCGAUGAUCAGUAGCCGGUCUAAGAGAAUGAACGGCAACAUUGGGACUGAGACACGGCCAAGACUCCUACAGAAGGAAGCAGUGGGGAAGCUUCCGCAAUGGACGAAAGUCUGACGGAGCAACGCAGCGUGAGUGAUGACGGCCUUCGGGUUGUAAAGCUCUGUUAAUCGGGACGCGGUACCGGAAUAGAAAGCCACGGCUAACUACGUGCCAGCCGCCGCGGUAAUAC
rnacentral:rRNA from 1 species